GGGAAGAUGGCCGAGCGGUUAUGGCGCUGCGUUCAGGCGGUUUGACUGUUUCAGUCGAUUCAUUAAACCUGUUCACUAUUUCGCAGUGGAGCAAUCCUCGUGGGUUCGAAUCCCACUCUUCUCA
rnacentral:tRNA from 1 species